rnacentral:lncRNA from 1 species
GUCAAACUAAGUAGCCUCACUGUGAAUAGCCAACACACUGUUGGUCAAAGGACCAGUCACACCACUACAGCAUCGAAAAAAAUCACCAACGAGUGAGUAAACAUCUAAGUGAUUUCUCGCAUUAUUCAUGCUUAGUGUGAGUUGUUCUCUAACAACCAUUUUCACUCUCAUUCCAAUAUCUCCACACUGCAGACUCGAGACUUAUCUGCCCAAA